rnacentral:lncRNA from 1 species
GUUUAGCACUGCCGCCGAUACCAAUGUGGAUCAAUCCCCCCAACACGUCCACACAAGCACCCAACUUAAGAGCAUCAAUGGGGCAAGUCUGUUGUGCAGGUGGUGAUGGUACUAUUGUCGGCGGCGGUGGAGGGCAUGGUGAAGGUGGUGGUGGAGAUGGUUUCACGAUUGGUGGUGUAACAACCGGAGGAUUUGGCACGUAGGGUGGUGGUGUUACCACUGGAGGGUUGGGUACAAAAGGUGGUGAAACGACUGGGGGUGUUGGUGCUGGUGGUUUUGGAGUGAAAGGGGGUGAAACAACAGGUGGUUUUGGAAUGACUGGUGGUGAAACAACAGGCGGUGUUGGUGCUGGUGGUUUUGGAGUGAAAGGUGGUGAAACAACAGGUGGUUUUGGAAUGACUGGUGGUGAAACAACCGGUGGUGUUGGUGCUGGUGGUUUUGGAGUGACUGGGGGUGAAACAACAGGUGGUGUUGGUGAUGGUGGUUUAGGCACAUAAGGUGGACUGACAGUGGGAGGUGGAUGUACUACUGGUGGUUUUGGGACAUAUGGAGGUUUUACAUGAGGUGGCUUGACAUGUGGAGGUCGGGGUGGAGGGCACGGUUUUGGUGUAGGGUGUUUAGGGGUCUUAGGGGUGGAAGGUGGUUUUACAUGUGGGGGAUAUUUAGGGUGGGUGGGGGUGGAUGGUGGUUUUACAUGAGGGGGAUAUUUAGGGUGGGUGGGGGUGGAAGGUGGUUUUACAUGAGGAGGUUGUUUGGGGUGGUGGGGGGUAGAAGGUGGUUUUACCUUAGGAGAUGGAUGUUUGGGAGGCAAUUUUGGGUGUUUUGGGGUGGAAGGAGGAUAAGGGCAGUAAG